UGGGUUGUAGCUCAGUGGUAGAGCACUUGCCUAAUGUGCGAGGCGCUGGGUUUGAUUCUCAGCACCGCAU
rnacentral:tRNA from 1 species